rnacentral:lncRNA from 1 species
AUGCCGGGCUGUGGCGGGGCCGCCCGGAUGCGGGGUGACCCCUGGUUUGCAUUGAGACCCCCCCGUCCCCUCCCCAGCGUGGCGAAUUUCGGGGUUGGGAUGCGCCGUGCGGUUCGCUCAUGGUCCUCGGGGGCUGCCGGUGCCGGGGUGGGCUCGGGGCUCCGGGGGAUGCUCUGCAAAGCCCCCCCCAAAUGGCCGGGGUGGUUCUGCGGGGUCUGUCUCAGGAGGGGCGAGGUGCAGCCCCGGUGGACAUGGUGGGGUCGUGGCGUGCUCCGUGUCCCUCUGCUCCCCGCCGCUCCUCCAUCGAGGCUGGCGUUGGUCCUGCUGCUCCGGGGUUGUUGGGGCGAUGCGCCGAGCGGUGUCCUGCUCCCGUGCGGGGGUCUGGGGGGGCGAGCAUUCGGUGGCUGUUGCACCCCUCUGCUGGGGAACCCCUCCUUUGCGUGCAGAAGGGACCUGGGGACAUUUCCCCCGGGUCAUUUGGCUGCCUCUGGGAGCACCCCAGAGGUCCCAGCACGUUGUGGGGCGCCGCGGUGCGUGCGGGGCUCCCCCACGGGCAGGGCUUUGCUCCUGGCACCCUCAUCCCGGGGCACUGCACCAGGACCCGGCCGUGUGGUGCUUGGCACCGGCUGCACGCUGCCCGGCCGUGCGUGCCGGCGUUCCCUCGUGCUGCAAAAGGGAGCCCGAAAACCGUGCUUUGAUUAUUUCCCUUCCAAAACACCACAGCAGGGACACAACCAGGGUGCCCCUCAGGUGCCCGCCGCCACUUCGCACCUUGGUGCACGGCGAGCUCCGCGCUGCAAGGCGCCCGGCGCGCUCCGGGGGUGGCGGGGCGCCACGCAGCCCAGUUUCACCCAGUUUCACCCAGUUCCACCGCCCGGUUUCGGGGUCCGUCCCCGCGGGCUGGGUGACCCGGGCGAGGGCUGGCGCGUGCCCGCGCGGUGCCGGCACAGCGAAGCACGCAGAGCGCCGCGUGGGUGGGAAGGGGCGAGCGCGAGUCCGUUUUGCUCUCUGCCUUUUUUUUCUUUUUUUUUUUUUUUCCUCUCUUUUCUUCUUUUUUUUUUUUUUUUUUUAUUUCCCUCUCUGUGGGUUGAGCGUUGGGGCGACAGACAGGGAAAGUCUGAGCAAUGGUCUCCGCGCUGGUGCUGUCUUCAAUCAGCGCGUCCCAGAAUCCCUCGCUCUGGGCCUUCUAGGCACAAGGGCUUACAGCGAAAAUCGGCAGCUGCAGCUGCGAGUGAAAGCACAAGAGCCCGGCUGGGUCUUUGGCAUCGGCAGGAGAGCAAAAAAAAGCUGGGGGAGGCGGGGAAGAGAGGAGGAGGGGGGGGGAAGAGCGAUGUGCCCUGUGGUUUUUUUUUUUUGUUGGUUUUUUUUUUCCAGCCCUGCCACCGAGGGUUGUGUUUCAGAGCCACGCUCGCCGGGCGCGGGAGGGGGGCGCGCGGUGAUGCCUCCGGGGAGCUCAUUAAAUCCGCCGGCCCCCCCCCUUUUUCCCCGUGCGCCUCGCCGGCCGGGAUGCAGCAAGGGGAAGGAGGGAGGGACGUGCCGGGUGGAACCGGCUGCCCGGUGGGGACAGUUACUGGCCCAGGCAGGAACGCUGCCCCGGGGGCUCACCUGUCGGAGCACGUAGGACGGGUGCGUGCCAGCGGGGCCGUGACAAAGGCAGGCGCAGAGCCGGGGACUCCCUCCGUGCCGGGGCGAAGCCCCCAGGGGAACGUCGAGGUGGUGGGGGUUCGGGGGGCUCGGGCGAUGCGGGGAAACGGGGGGCAGCAGGCGUGA